UACGGGGGGGAGCAAGCGUUGUUCGGAUUUACUGGGCGUAAAGGGCGCGUAGGCGGUCAGCACAAGUCAGUUGUGAAAUCUCCGGGCUUAACUCGGAAAGGUCAACUGAUACUGUGCGACUAGAGUGCGGAAGGGGCAAACUGGAAUUCUCGGUGUAGCGGUGAAAUGCGUAGAUAUCGAGAGGAACACCUGCGGCGAAGGCGGGUUGCUGGGCCGACACU
rnacentral:rRNA from 1 species